CCUACGGGUGGCAGCAGUGGGGAAUAUUGCACAAUGGGGGAAACCCUGAUGCAGCGACGCCGCGUGAGUGAAGAAGUAUCUCGGAAUGUAAAGCUCUAUCAGCAGGGCAGUAAAUGACGGUACCUGAAUAAGAAGCCACGGCUAACUACGUGCCAGCAGCCGCGGUAAUACGUAGGGGGCCAGCGUUAUCCGGAUUUACUGGGUGUAAAGGGAGCGUAGACGGCCAGACAAGUCAGAAGUGAAAGCCCAGGGCUCAACCCCGGGACUGCGUUUGAAACUGCCGGGCUGGAGAGCAGGAGAGGUAAGCGGAAUGCCUAGUGUAGCGGUGAAAUGCGUAGAUAUUAGGAGGAACACCAGUGGCGAAGGCGGCUUACUGGACUGUAACUGACGUUGAGGCUCGAAAGCGUGGGGAGCAAACAGGAUUAGAUACCCGGGUAGUC
rnacentral:rRNA from 1 species